GACGAACGCUGGCGGCGUGCUUAACACAUGCAAGUCGAACGGAAAGGCCCUGCUUUUGUGGGGUGCUCGAGUGGCGAACGGGUGAGUAACACGUGAGUAACCUGCCCUUGACUUUGGGAUAACUUCAGGAAACUGGGGCUAAUACCGGAUAGGAGCUCCUGCUGCAUGGUGGGGGUUGGAAAGUUUCGGCGGUUGGGGAUGGACUCGCGGCUUAAGAGCUUGUGGGGGGGGUAGGGGCUAACCAAGGCUUUGACGGGUAGCCGGCCUGAGAGGGUGACCGGCCACAUUGGGACUGAGAUACGGACCAGACUCCUACGGGAGGCAGCAGUGGGGAAUAUUGCACAAUGGGCGGAAGCCUGAUGCAGCAGCGCCGCGUGCGGGAUGACGGCCUUCGGGUUGUAAACCGCUUUCGCCUGUGACGAAGCGUGAGUGACGGUAAUGGGUAAAGAAGCACCGGCUAACUACGUG
rnacentral:rRNA from 1 species